UACGUAGGGGGCAAGCGUUGUCCGGAUUUAUUGGGCGUAAAGCGCUCGCAGGUGGUUCGUUGCGUCGUGCGUGAAAGACCCCGGCUCAACUGGGGAGGGUCGUGCGAUACGGGCGAACUGGAGGCCAGUAGGGGGAUGCGGAAUUCCGGGUGUAGUGGUGGAAUGCGUAGAGAUCCGGAGGAACACCCGUGGCGAAAGCGGCCACCUAGCCCAAACCUGACGCUGAUGCGCGACAGCGUGGGGAGCGAACUGG
rnacentral:rRNA from 1 species